UAAAGAUAGUUUUUAGCUGCUGAAAUUUCCAGAUUUCCUCACUAUUUUUUGCUGUUUAUCCCCGGGGAUAACUGCUGUUUUUUCUACUGCGUUUAAGCUUCGGGUUCUCAUUUCUUUGACCUUUAUUUGGUCUGGUUUUCUUUUUGCUGUUCUCAUUCUUAAAGGUUUCAAAAUCAUGAGCCAUUGAAACUGAGGCAGUUUAUAGUUUAAAAAAUAGUAGGAUUUUAUGUACAAUCUUUAUAUGGCCAUGUAUAAUUUUAAUUUUUUGUUAAACUAGCUAUAUUCCUUUCUUUUCUUCCAUUUUAGCUGUAAUGGACUGUAUAAUCGUAUUAAUUUCAGUAGUUUACAUUUUCACGUAA